AGGAAAACCACCAAAAAUACUCAAAGGAUGAUUUUGGAAAAUUUUGGCUAGAAAAGGCUAAUCUAGUCUUGAGGAUAACAAGGCCAAUGAGCAAUUUGAAAGCUCGGGUAUGAAACAACCUCCCCAAAUGGCUGUUACUGGUGAUCAGAUUUUGAUGCAUCCAUUUAUUUAUGAAGAACAUGAUGUGUAUUCUUCUGCCAGAGUAUAUCUAUACCUCUUCAUCAAUUGGAUAAUUAGUUUGCAAGGAAAUCAAAUUUAAUGGAUGUUAAUCAAGUCCUGUGAUUUUGUGAGAGCUUUCUCCUCCAACCAGACUACCGAGACAUCAAUUGGAAACUUAAUGCAACCAUGUGGAGUUUGUGCACAAACUACCUCUCCAUCACCCAAAGUGCAGAGACACCAACUAGACAAUGGCAUCAGAAAAUAUUUGUCUCUCUGUAUUUCCUAAAAUUUAGCUUCAUAUUGGUUCUAUUUUUGUGGAGUUUGUGCUAUUUCAUAAUUUGGCUACUAUUUGAAAUCAGUCAUUGUUGAUUGGAUUUCUUGUUUUGACAACCUAGAAUGA